CUUUUCUGAGCAGGAAAGAGACUAGGUAAAGUAGCAUGUAAUAUCCUUAUUCCCACACAGAUGUCUGAAGCUUCUUUCUCCUUUGGUCAAACCUGAUUUGUAUUUCUUCUUGUUAAUGCCCCCAGAGUACUGAGGCUGCUUUCUGCCUG
rfam:Tupaia belangeri cont1.286330, whole genome shotgun sequence.